rnacentral:rRNA from 1 species
GAUCCUGGCUCAGGAUGAACGCUAGCUACAGGCUUAACACAUGCAAGUCGAGGGGAAACGACAUCGAAAGCUUGCUUUUGAUGGGCGUCGACCGGCGCACGGGUGAGUAACGCGUAUCCAACCUGCCCAUCGCUUGGGAAUAACCUUGCGAAAGUAAGACUAAUGCCCAAUGAUAUCCCACGAGGGCAUCCGAAUGGGAUUAAAGAUUUAUCGGUGAUGGAUGGGGAUGCGUCUGAUUAG